rnacentral:lncRNA from 1 species
AAUAAAUUAAUUUUCAAAAUGAGCAGAAUUAUUAUAUAUUAAAAUUUUGAGAUGAUGAAAAUUACUAUCAGAUUAGAUUUUGAAUUUUAGACAUUAACAUCAGUUAUGUUACAACGAGCGCACAAACGAAAACGACAAAGACGAACACAAAAUAAACAAAUCACAAAUAAAAAUAAAAGAACACACAGAUUUACGUAAAAAAAUUUUUGCAAAAAAAAAUCACGGUCAGAAGAGGAGAAAACUUUACUAUCGAAAAGAAAAUACAAUGUUUGAAGUACAACCAACCACUAUCUAUCGCCUCUAGAGCCUGUGGGAUCGAGCCUUCCGCUACCCACCACAAAUAUUUGUUUUUUCUUUACAAUUUUAUUUUUCAAUUUGAUCGCACGAUAAAAUUGUCGGCGAGUCAAAAUUCCGAGCUGAAGUCGAUUAUCUAACAAGUUAUUUGGUAUGGUGCAUGAAACGUAGGAUACAAUGGUUGUAGCAAUAGAUUCCAGAAUGAGAGAGAGAGAGAGAGAGAGAGAGAGAGAGGAGAAUAGGAGAUAAGAUAGUAUGCUCUUACCAACCUGACCCUUUUCUCUCCUAAAACCCAAUGGGAGGAGGAUAGAUUCCUUAAGGCGAGGGGAAACAUGCGGUUUGCAGUUUAUUAAUCUGUGAUGUGAAGGACAUGCUAUUUUGAGAUGCCCACCACACCAAACAAAACAAUUUAAAAUACUAUCAAGUACUAAAUAAUGGUAAAAAAAUAAUUUUACAGUUGCUUGGGUUAGCAAUGGACGGUUUCCAUGUAAGAACGCUGUUGAGGUUUCACAUCUGGGAAUGGGACAUGGUCUUAGUCAUAAUGAAAGGCCUAACGAAAGAGAUUUUGUAGAAUCAGAUAUAUUAGUUUAUUAAUUCAUCAGGCAAAGCGGAUUCUCUAAGUUGAGGAGAUGCGUUGUUGGAACUAACAUAGCUUUUACCUCUGGUUUUUUUUCUAAAAAGAGUAAGUUAACAAUUCUACUUGAUCCAUUUUGUGUACCCUUAAAUUUUAAGCUCUUAUAUGAAAUUUUUUUUGAUUAAUUUGAAUAAAGAAUAAUAUAUGAAACUAUGAAUUCUCCAUAAACACUACAACAGAAUUAGUUAAUAGAAACAUAUUUUUAAAAUAUUUUUGUGUAAAUAUCUCAUUUAUGCAAAUUUUUUAAAAAAAAAUCUACUAAAGCCUAAAUAUAAAGCUCAAUCCAACUAAAAACAAAAAAUUUAUUUACUCAACCAAUCCUACCCAGUCCACUCGGUUCGAUUAUAAAUAAAAAAGAAAAAAAAAUUGAUCACCAUCUCCCUUUCUUCUCCUCCACCGCCGCAGCCGAUGAGAUACUAUUCUGACGAUUGGAAUUCGGCAACGAAGAUUUCGCAGGAACCGUGGAGAAUUACGAUCGCCACAUGUCCCUCCGUCAUAGAUAGCUAGAAGAGUGAGUGCCGAAUAUCAAAGCGGCCUCACAUAUAGCGACCUUACAUAUAACAACACUUUUAAAAAGUGUCGAUAAUUUAGUCAGCAGUAUUUUUUUUAUCUGUACCGAUAUUUAAAAGUGCCGCUAUAUAUUAUUUUUGUUGCAGUCAAAAUAUAGUUCCUGUGUAACUAGUAUUAUUUAAAGAAAAUAAAUCAUACAAAAAUGUGUUCGAACUAACAAAAGUUACUUGUAGAAAUUUGGUUCGCGUUCCUCCCAAUGUAAGGCGAGUAAAGUAAAAUUCCACUCCAAGUUCGGGCAUUAACACAUAUUAUUAUAUUCAUCUUUUGCAAUUAAGACAAUUGGGUUAGCAUUUUAAGGAGACCCCACGAAAAUGGGGAUAUUCUUACACAGUACAACCACGUGGCUAUGGACGGAACCGAUCAAAUAGCAAUCAUGCGCCUGUAAAUUACAGUUAAAAGCAGGGAGGCUUACUAGGGGAUUGAGACCACACUUAUUGAACGAAGAGAGAGAGAGAGAGAGAAAGAGAGAGAGACCACACUCAAAAAGUUUUGCUUAGUUAUAUUGGUAUAACAUUGAGCCAGCUCACAAAUUAAGUAAAUUUUGACAGCAUGAUGUAGAAGUCGUUACACUCUACGAGGUGUUCUUUUUUAUUGUUUUUAAUGCUGAGAUAAGACUUUACAAAAAUAGUAUUAUAUUUAUAAAUAAAUUUUACGAUAAUUUACAAAUUAUAAAAAUAAUGAUCGAUGAAUAAUUUUACAAUUUUAUAAAUUAUACUAAUAUUUUUUAGAUAUUACAUACUAAAGUAAUGCAGUUUUGGGUCAUUCUUCGCUUGAACGAGCAUUUUUUUUUUUUUUUUGAGAUAUAGAUAACGUGUUAUCCGCUUCAUUUCUUGUAUUUAAAAAAAAAAGAUUUUGGACUUGAAAUAUACAAGACCUUACAUUAUUAAGCUUAAACAUUUUGAUCAGCAAUAUAAGUCCAACAAAUUAUUAUUAUCAGCGGGUCAAAUCGUUAAACUCUCUUUCCCAAUGUGCUUCAUUAGCAAGAAGGAUUUUUUGAGCUUUUAUGCUGAAUAAAGCGGUUUUUUCAUAUUUCUCUUUAAAAAACAGCUUCACAUGCAUGGACUCUGGUUGGUCCGAUUAUCUAUCUAAUAUGUAGGGGUGCAGGUUUUUAUUUGAAAAGAUUUGAUCAUGAAUUUGAGGAAUCAUUGGCACUAACAAUUAAAAUACGUAGGGGUGCAGAUUCCUAUUGAAAAUAUGUAAGGAUUUAAUCAUAAACGUGAUCGAAUUGUUAGCACUAAUCAUUAAUUCUAAAAACAUAGCACCCACAUAUCUUAAUUGUGACUGCCUCCCCCCUCACCCCCCUCAAACACCUAUACAAAUUCGGAGCAUGCGGGAAUCAAAUGUAUAAUCUCUUAUUCUCAUUAAUUUCAAAAGUUUGAACCAUUAAAAAUACAUAAUUAAUUUACUUAAAACGCAAAAACACAACGCCAAUAGAUUUCAAUUGUAACUCAGCCCAACUAGUCUCAUUUUAUUUGGAACAUGACUCAGCCCAACUCUGCCUCCCAUCACAGAACAAAAUGCUGACUUUUUUAAGCUAACAGAAUGUACCCCAAAUAUGUAUCAAGUAGUGUAUGUCAACUAACCAGUUUGCUGUCGAAAUGGGUCGGGUUAAGUACUUAAGUUGACCUAAACAAAUAGCUGUAGUAGAGGUCAAUUAAAACUAGACGCAAUGCAACUUUAGUACGGGCGAGCUUUUAAAGCUUAACACAAACGAUAUUUGAUUGAGUUUGCACAUCAAGUUAAUACUUGUCUUCGAAAAUGGGUUAGGCACAUCGUUUGUCAAUGAACUUAUCACAAAGAUUUUAUUUAUAUCACCAAAUUUACUUUUGUUUCAUUUGAUGCGGUGAGCUUCAUUUUUUUUCUUCGAAUUGGGUUGUUAUAUUCAAACUUUAUUUAAUUUUGAUACUCAACUCCUCUCUUGCCUUUAAGCUGAAGAUUUAAGUCAGCUAAAAAUUUAUUCUGAAAUUUAUACUACUCAACAUAAUGUUGUAACUAACACAAUAGUAAUUUUAUUUUAUUAAAUCAAUUUAAUUACAUCAAAAAUCAAAUUAUUAUAAAAUAUAUUUCAUUACAAUAAUUUGUACCAUUGUGAUAAUAUUAUUUAUGAUAAUUAGCUAUUUAUUACCAUAAUUUCUAUAGUAACAAUUUAUAACACUUCUUGUUGGUUGCAAAAAUUUUGUAACUUAUAAUUAUUAAUUGCAACAGUAUUUGUUAUUGGAUAAGAAUGAAUUUUUAGUAAUCGAAAGCAAUUGUCAUGUCGUCAUAGUAUAUGGAGCGGUGAUGCUGUGGCAAGCUUGAUCAAUUACUAUAACAUAUCUUCAUUGCCAAAAAAUAAAAUUGAUAAACAACAAAUAGUGUGAAACAAAUUAAAUUUGAAGUUCUGUGAAUUCUUUCGAUAUAUAGUGAACUGUUUUUUUUAGACAAAAAAAAAAAAGCAAGUUACCUAGCUACUUUAUUCAUUGAGAAUAAUAAAAUUAACAAUAAAAGUGAGGCACUCGAGACCCAAAAAAAGAAAAGGAAAAAAAUAUAAAAAAGAGAAAAGCCUGAAAGUCAAGAAUGGAUUAGUGAAAUAAGAGGGAGUAGAAAAACAAGAGGAAUGACGAUUGGCGAGAUUCAAUCUAGAAUUUCAUGAGUUGCCAGGAUGCCGAAUAGGAUUUGCACCCGGUUCAUAGUACGGUCUUGGAAUAUAACAUUGUUUCUUUCUAACUAGAUCGUAAACAAAAUAGUCAAUAAUAAGAUGUGUCGAUAUUCCUUUUGAACUAUCGGUCAGUUGGAUGGUCGGUAUUUCUGCCGCGUGGUGGUCAACUAAGCAGGACAGCAAGAAUCUGAGAUAUAUAUGGAUACUAGGAUUUAUUCAUGUCCUAACAUGUGUUGCGAUUCUUCGAGGGAUCAUGAUGUCUCCGAUGAUUAUUUUAUUGCUACUUUUAUGCCUAUUUUAUUACUAAUUAAUUUCUAGAACUUUAUUAAUGCUCUAAAACUAUAUUUAUUACAUUGAAAAUAGAAACCUCGUAUUUAUUGGCCACAUUACAAUUAUUCUAAUAUAUAUGAUAAGAAAACUAAAUAAGAAUAACAUGAACCAAAAGAUAUUUCUAAUCUAACAAGAUAUUUAAAGUGUAAGAAUUAUUCUAAUUUAAUUAUAAAAAACAAAAGUAAUCUUAAUCUAAUAAGAAAAAACUGGAUAACCAAGAUGGGUAAGGAUUCAUCCCCCUCGAGUCACACCUUAUCCCGGAGAUGCGAUUUUGUAGAACGUAGGUCAUUACUUUGUGGCACUGUAUCAUCUGGGGUAUUGAUAUCGAAUUUCAAAUUAGCAGUUUUGGACUUAUGAUUGAUGGCCCGAGCUGCGCCUUUCUUUCAUUUGGGAACUUAUCUUUUGAAUUUCUGUAUUUGAAGGAAGAGAUUGCUUUUUAAUUUAUCUUAUCUUUCAUUAAUUCUCUAGUCAAUCACGCAAGCCUCAUCAAAAUUCCGAGUCCGUUUGCUAUCACUCUAAUCUUUAUAUCUUUCCAAAGAACUCUGACAAAACACCCCCAUCAAAGUCUCUUGCAGCCAUCCAGUCACCAUAUUGUUAAGAUUCUCGAAUUUGGCUUAAAAAUCAUGAACGAAACCAAUUUAAGAUACCACCAUAUAGGGUGAUAACAAGCUUUACAAAUUGAGACAAUCCGAACUUAUUCAUGUCAAUUACAACAUGAAUAAGUUUAGUGCCCUACAAGCAAAAUUUUAUGAUUAAGUUCCGCAACAUGCAUGUAGAUCUCAUUUGCCUCUUUGAACUACAAGCAAUCGGAACAUGUUGCUCGCCCUAACUAUUAGGAAUCUGUGACUUACACUAAUACCGGAUUAUCUUUGAUAUCAGUUUGUUAUAACAAAAACAAAAAAAAUUUAGUUCGUCGGGCAUAAAAAUACUAAAAAAAUCAAGAAAGAGAAAAAAAAAUAAAAAAUACAAAUAUUUAUCUCAUUUGGCCUGUGUGUACAUUCAUGUAGUGGUGUCAACGAGCUGAACACGAGCUUAUUCGUUAAAAUAUCGAGCUAAAAUAUUUAGUCCGUGUUCGGCUUGUUAAUAAAUUAGUCGAACAUGAGUUGGCUCACAAGCUGACCAACAAACAAUAAGUUAAAAAAAUUAAUUUGAAUCUACAUAGAAAAUAAAUUUAUAAAAUCUUACCGAUUGGACUUUCGUCUAAUGGUUGAACUUUACAUAUAAAUGAGUCUUUUUACAAUUGAGUUCGGCUUUAUAUUUUGAUUUUGCUAAAAAUCAAAUAAUAAAAAUAUUAUAUAUAUAAUAUAUAUAUAUAUAAAUAUAAAUUAUAUAAAUAUAAAAUAUAUAUAUUCGAGCAGUUAUCGAGCCGAAUACGAGCGAGCAGACUCAGCUCAUGUUAGACUCAUUUAUCAAAUGAGCUGAAAAAUUCAACUUAUGUUCGAUUCGUUUACUAAGUGAACAAUUCGAACUCGAGCUCAUUUCCAAGCGAACACAAGCUGGCUUACGAAUAGCGAACUGGAUUGCCACCCCUACAUCCACGGGAGAAAAUGUAGUUAAGAUUUUCAUUAUUAUCAAAGUUGUGUAUAAAAUAUAUUUCUCUCACAAAAUCAUAAUUCCAAAAAAAUAUUCAUACUUCUCAUUUGCCACACCAAAUUUAUAAAAUGAAGGAUAUAUUUAUAGUAGUAGCUAAUUCUAAUAUAAUUAAUAAUAAAAUAUCACUAAAAUUAGGAAUAAUCUUAAUACGAUCAGACAUAAUUUAAAAUUAAUUUAUGGCGAUAAUUAAAAUAAAAAAGGGUUAGAAAAUCUUGCAUUGCCAGAAUUCGAGAUAUAUCUAAUAAUUACCAUCUUGACUUUAAUUUUCUAUGUUCUGCAUCAAAAUUUUAAAUGCUCCUGUAGUACUACCGCUCAUGCAAACAAAAUUUACAGAUGAACUUGAUUAACGACAGAGACUCAAUAAGUAAAUUUGCGGGGUUCUCUGCCGUGCUAAUCUUCUUUUGCAACAUCUAUUGCAUUGGAACGAUAACUUGUCGUAAGGCAAAACUAUUAGAGCAAUCAAACUUAUAGAUCUCAAACUUCAUCGAUGUUUUAAACACCCAAACGAACAAUCCGGCUCCGAUAUCAAUUUAUUAGGAAUCCUAAANUGCAUUGCCAGAAUUCGAGAUAUAUCUAAUAAUUACCAUCUUGACUUUAAUUUUCUAUGUUCUGCAUCAAAAUUUUAAAUGCUCCUGAAGUACUACCGCUCAUGCAAACAAAAUUUACCGAUGAACUUGAUUAACGACAGAGACUCAAUAAGUAAAUUUGCGGGGUUCUCUGCCGUGCUAAUCUUCUCCUUUUCUAGUUAUGCCUUUUGCGACAUCUAUUGCAUUGGAACGAUAACUUGUCGUAAGGCAAAACUAUUAGAGCAAUCAAACUUAUAGAUCUCAAACUUCAUUGAUGUUUUAAACACCCAAACGAACAAUCCGGCUCCGAUAUCAAUUUAUUAGGAAUCCUAAACUUACUCUGAUACCGGAUUUCCACUAAUAUCAGUUAAUUUGUUAUGACAAAAAUAUAAAAAAUCUAGUUCGUCAAGUGUAAAACAAUUAAAAAAUUAUUGAGAAAGAAAAAAGAAAAAUAAAGCUCACAAAUAUUUACGUGAUUUGGCUACUAGCCUACAUUAACGUAUAUAUAAAAGCGUAUAGAAGAUCUUUAUCUAUACUAUCUAUAAUAUAUAUAUAAAAGCGUAUAGAAAAAAUCUUACAAUGACAGAUGGAAUAAAAAUAAAAAUAAAAGAAUAUUCCCUACUUUUAUGAUCAAUUUGUUAGAAAAUAUUUCAAAUAAGAACGAACUGUUAUGAUCAAUUUGUUAAAAAAUAUCUUAAAUAAAAAUAAAUGAUUAUGAUCAAUCUAUUAAAAUAGCAUACAUAUACAUCUAUUUUACAUUAAAACUAACACUACAACAAAAACGGCCUAUAGCGACACUUUUAAAUAUAGAUACAUAUCAAAAAAGUGCUGCUAGCUAAAAUUACCGACACUUUUAAAAAGUGUUGCUAUAUGUAGGGUCGCUAGGUAUAUAGUAACAGUUAAAGAGUGUCGCUAUAACUUAAAAGAGUGCUGCUAAUUUACCAACACUUAUUUAAGCAUUUAGCAACCGCCGAAACUCUAUCUCGUUGGCUGCGGUGGCGGAGGAGGACGACAGGAAAGGCUCUUCGUCUAGAAUUUCAAUGGAUUGAGUGAAGAGAGAAGAAAAGAUGGCAAUUGAUUUUUUUUUUUUUUUUUUUUGUAAUCGGGCCAAAUGGAUUGAGUGUGGUGGGUUGAGUAGAGUAAUUUUUUAUUUUUAGUUGGAUUGGGCUUUAUAUUUAGGCAUUAGCAGAUAUUUUUUUAAGUUUUAGCAUAAAUGGGACACUUACUCAAAAGUGUCCCAAACAUGUGUCCCUAUAGCCUAAUUAUGUUGUAGUGUAAAUUUAUUUUUAAAAUCAUAAUAAAAUCCAUCAAGUGGGUAUAAAAUAAAUGGUCGAAAUUGCACGACCUCCUAAAAAUUAAGGAUUAGAUUCUAUAAUUUAAGAUCGGAGUUAGAGAUCACUCUCUCGAUAGUGAAUAAAAUUUUCUAGCAAAAAUUCAAUCGAUUUUAAUUCUUUUACACCGUUAAACUAGCGAGCAUUCCAUAUCGACCGUUAAAAAAUGUCAACUUUGAGAUCUUUUGAUCGUAAGGUAGAUAAUGCCGAAAAAUUAUGAUAUUUAAUUUCUAAAAGUUUUAAAUGCUUUAAAUUAUGUUUAACGAUAAAAAUCACCAAUUCAAAUACUCUAUCAUUGAAACAACUAAUGAGUACGAAGUCAAUCGUACUCAUAAGAGUAUAUCAGCUGAACUCAUUGCAGAUAUUUCUAAUAAAAUAUAAUAUACAAAUUUAUAAAAUAUAAUUUUUAUUAUAAAUUUUUGGAUAAAUAUGAUUUACAAAUUUAUAUUGAUAUGAAUUAAAUUAAAAUAAUUGUUACGUACAUUUGCACGUAAACUCAAUUAGUUUUAACUAAAUUGGGGUUACAAAAUAUGCCUCUAUUACAAAAUGCUAGUCACAUAUAUCCAUACUCUUCUUUAUUUGCCGCACAUGGAAUAAAAGUAUAUUUAUAAUAAAAAUAUUGCCCACUAAGCGGUGGAAUUAUGAUAGGUGGAGUGCCAUUAUACGGGAAGGUAACCCUAUGAGUGCUUGGCUAAAUCGUAAUACAAUUACGAAUAUCGUUUCACUAAGACUAGGAAUAAUUCUAAUACAAUUAAACAUAAUCUAAACUUAUUUAAAUAGGAUAAUUAAAAUAAAAGAGUUAGAAAAUUUUAUGGUUUUAAAUUUAAAACAUAUCUAAUAGGGUUAAUUUCAUACAGACCCUUGUAAAUAUAGUGAAUGACAAAUAUAUCCCUACAAACUUCAAUUUUUAUAUGUUGUCCCUACAAAAGUUUCAAUAUUUUCAAAUAUAUCUCUCUAGUUUGCUACCGUUAGAGAAUUAUUUAUAUUUUUAAUUUUGUUAUCAUAAAUAUGCACCUCCAAAAGACACGAGGGUAAAAAUAUAAAAACUAAUCAAGGUUAAUUAUUUAAUCUAUGGUUAACUAAAUUUUUCUAACGGAUUCUAACGGUAGGAAUAUAUUUAAAAAAUCAUGACUUUUGUAGGAAUAACAUAUGAAAGCUGAAUUUUAUAGCGAUAUAUUUAUCAUUCACUAUAUUUAUAGAACCUAUAUAAAAUUAACUCUAUCUAAUAAUACCCAACCUAAACAAACCGUCUAUCCAUUACCCAAGUUUUAGGAAUUCCAUUGAGCAGAAGCCAUUGAAGAUAUGCACUCUUCUAAACAAUGACCAAGUUUAAAAAGAAAAAAAAGAAGAGGAAGAUGCAGAUGACAAAUUCUUAUUCGUAAUAAGACAGCUAAUACAAGCUGGCAAAUUCUAAUCCGCCGCAAGACAGCUAGCCUAACAAUUAAUGUAAUUGUACUAAGGUCAUAACAAAUGUUUUUGAUUGAUUGGGUAAAGAUAAUAAUAUUAUGAUGUGCAAGUUUUAGGACCCAUUUAGUAUUGAGAUACAUCUGACACUAAUAUAGAAAUAUACUUUUGUGUUUUCAAAAGAGAUAGCUAAAAAGAUAUCAUAAUAGAUUUAUUGCAAAUUGCGAUAUACAAAAUACGAUAUUAUAUAUAGCUAUUCAUUAUAUUUUUUUUAUCACACGUAACGUAAUUUAUCUAUAAUCUCAAAUGGAAUCUUAGGCAAUAUGAGAGAUUUGUGAAUUUGAGCAGAUUGAUUUUAUAUUUGAUCGAUGUAUGGUGUUACCCCAGCGUUUGAACUAAGAGAAUUUGAUCAAUAAUUAAAUGGACUUUCCACAAAAAUCAAUAAUUGAAUAAAAUAUGUGAUUUUAAAGUAUCCGAAGAUCCUUUUUUUAUCUUAACAAAGAAAACAUGCAUGUAUGCCUCAUCCCAUUCAAGUGGUGGCAUCCCAUUCCAAGGAGUGGGAACAUGAGUUAAGGAACAAAUCCUACCUUACCUAACUAAUAUACAUUAUUUAAGUAAAUCUAUUUGACCUACUAACUGGAGCAACUCUAAUGCAGCAACUUCUUUUAGCCAAAAGUAAUGAGGUUGUAAUGUUCUAAAAUUCAGGCCAAACCGACUGGUUUGACCGUGACCCAGUUAAUAAGACAUGCAGUUUGGUUCAAUUUUUUGAAUCGAACAAACUCUAAGUCCGUUUUGAACUAUUUGAGCCACAAUUCAAUCAACGAACCGAUAAACUAAUUAUAAUCUGGUUCAAAACAAACCAACUGAUUUUCUUUUUCUUCAUUAGUGUAAUUUUCAAUUUUAUUUAUGAUUAUUUUUUUAAGAUUUUUAUUAUAAUAAAUAAAUUUUGAAAGCUUAUAUCUGCUUAAUUUCGUCUAAAAAUCAAUAUUUUAUAAUUAAGUAUAAUAUUAAAGUAAAAAUUAUAUAUAUAUAUAUAUAUAUUUAUAAAAUAAAAUUAAAAAAUAAUUAAAUACAUAGGACCUCAUGUUGACUUCAGUGAUGCUUGACCUAGCAGCAUUUCAGGUCGCUAUUCGACCAGAUUUUAAAACAUUGGCUUUAACCUCUAUACAUGAUAAAAAGACAAUAUAGUUCAAAUAAAAAGAAUUCGUGGGAACUCAAGUGUAUACAACUGCACUAAGGAACUCUUUGGUUGCACAUAUAUAAUUGUAACUUAAUUACAGUUGUAACUAUAUAUAGAUUCAAAUCCAGUAUUUUGUUGUAAUUUAUUUGAAUUUAAUUAUUGUAGUUGCAACUGCACAAUAAAGUUUAACUGCAAUAGUUGAAAUUAUAUUCAAAUUGACUGCAGUUCCAACUAUAGCAGUAGAAGAGAAUUAGUUUGAACAAAGAUAAACUUGUCUUCCUAAUAGCAUUUUAAGUAGAUUUAUUUUUUCUUUCAUAUACAUGGCAUAUAAAAUUUCACCACUCCAUAUAUAAAAUGGUAGAAAUUCAUAAAUACGUUUCUGAACUAUAUGUAAUUAAAUAAAGUAUUUAUAAUUGUACUUUUUACUCAAUCGUUGCUACAUAUUUAACUGCAUGCGUCUUCAACUGUACUAUUUUUAUAAUUAUUAUGUUGAUCCAAAUGACCCCUAAAUUUUCUUAAAAUUAAAUUUUUUUUAGGAUAUAUAUUCGCAAACCAUUUGAUUUCAACGGUUAGAUACAGAGAGGGGUUGUCUUGGAUUAGAGAACUCUCUUAGUCGGAGGGUUGGGAGCACAGUUCAUGAUUUUAAAACAAAAUUAAAAAUAAAAUAAAUAUUAAAUAAAUUUUAUGAAUAUAAACAGCUCGUACAUAUAACACAUUCCAGUUAAAUAGAUGUUUCAUAAUGUUAUGUAGAUGUAUAUGUGUGCGUGCGUACAUAUAUAUCAAGAGAAGAUAUAUAUGUAAUUCCAGUAAGUACCAUAAGAGAAAAUUAUAUAUAUCAAGAGAAGAUAAAUGCAAAAUUUAUAAUUUUAAUGGUCGAUAUGGUGUGUUUACUUAUUUAACAGUAUAGAAGAGUCCAAAUCAACUAAGUUUUUAUUAGAAAAUUAUUUAAUAAAACAAGAUUAAUUAGACUGUAAAUCUUAAAUACAAAAAUUAUAUCAUCACUGUUUGAAAAAUAUUCAUUUUCAGUCGUUCAUUUUUUGUUCACAUGAUGGACAAAAGAACAAUAUCGAAAAAGUGUGAAAUUUGAUUUCCAAAUAGUUUAAAUAGUUUAGAUCAUAUUUAACAGUGCUGAAUGUCAAUUUGAAAGCUGUAUCAUCGAAAACAAAUCGGUAAUAAACCGAGCCGUCUAUUAUCGGUAGUAUUCUAGAAAAACUCUCUCUCUCUCUUUCUCUAUAGAGUUGAGCUAGAAUACUAUCGAUAGCAAACGGGCUCCGUUGCCACCCAUUUGUUUUCGAUGAUGGAGCCUCCAAAUCGACGAUCGGCACCGUUGAAUAUAAUCUAUACCACUUGAAGUGUUUAGAAAUCAAAUUUCAUAUAUUUUCGAUAUUGUUCUCUUAUCCAUCGAGUGGACACAAAAAUAAACGACUAAAAAUAAAUAUUCUUUAAAAAUGAUGAUAGGAGUCUUGUAAUCAAGAUCAAGAGUAUAGAUCUUGUUUUAAAUAGUUUAAAGAAUUUUCUAACAAAAAUUCAAUUGAUUUGGAUAUCUUUACGCCGUUAAACUAAAAAUAAAAUAAAAAAUUAAAUUAAAUAUUAUGAGUAUACUAUCAGACUCGUACUAUACACAUUUCAGUUAAAUAGAUUUCAUAAUGUUAUGUAGAUGAUAUAUGUGUGCGUUCUGCUGUAAUGCGCCACACUAUAUUUUAGUCUCUUAACUAAGAAAAUAUAUAGGUAAUACCAACACAGCCAUCCAGCGUACCAGUCGCCAUUGAAUUCGUAAUCGCUCAUUACGGAAUGCACCAGUUCGGAUCCUCUCCAUUCGAUCUUCCGACCUCUCUUCCCCACAUAUCUGCAUCACUUUUGUUGUAGUCGACGGUGCGACUUCUUUGAAUGCUGCCGAUAAUAUUCUACUUAAUCUCCAAUUGAACGGCGAUUCGAAUACAUCUUUCUUCAGCAGUGUGAGGAGAGAAUUUUAACUUGAGACCAAAUUUUCACUCAAAGUGAAGUCGACUAAAUAGAAAUCCUUAGUACAAUGCUAAAAGACGCAAAAACUAAAUGCAACCUGAAGAACUGGUCACAUGACCAGCUAGAGGCUAUCAAAACCAUCAUUUAGCUCUCUAACUGCAUCAAAUAUAAUAGUUACCUAAAAAUCCUUUUCUUAUAAAUAUUUCGUAGUGCAUUGUAUUCAAUUUAACACGCAUAUUGUGGUACAACUUACUAGCCUAUUGACGAUCAACAAAAUGCCAUUCAAUGUGAGAAACAAACAAUGUCUCUUCUAACGGAAAACAGGUUAAUUCUACGAUGAUCUACUCAAAAAAGCAAAAAUAGAACGCUUAUUGCAAUAAUCUCUAGAGUAAUACGUAAACAUUAUUAGAACAACGUUAACACAUACAUAGCCCUCCAGAAUUGGGUUUGAAAACAAUAAAAAAUACACACACUGGUGUGCUUGGUAAGCAAACAUAUCCACACAAAACGGAGCACGAAAUGUAAAUUCAAAGAACAUCCUCACACCAACCUAAAUCCGCAACUUUACGUAGUAACCAUGCGAUUCGUGAUCGGAUCGACUCACCCCUCUCUCUCAAUAUAUCACCAAUAUACAGGCGUAAAAUAAUAGCCGUCGUGCUCAAAAUAGACGAUAGAACUUAUACCGUGCUCCCCUGAGCAUGGCCCUUCUACGACUGAGAGUUUCGGAACUUUAGAAAAUCGAAAUCAAUACUACUCGUUAUAAUAGCUCGACUAAGGAUAUUAUGCUAUUUAGAUUCGAUUAGAACAAUAAUAUAUAUAUAUCAGUAUAAAUUAAUUAUUCGAUAUCACACUAAAACGACUAAAUCAUAUGAUUGAUAUACAGAUAUAGUUGAUUCAAAUCAAUAGAUUAAUUUGUAAAGCCAUAGAGCUUACUCAAAAGAAACAUAAAAAUACACUCUCACUAGCAAAAUGUGAUACUAAAAGACACUAAAUAUAGUUUUUAUCCGAUCAGAAUAUUAAUCUGUGUAGAUAGUAUAGAAGAAUUUUGUAUCUAAAUAUUUAUAACUGUUUGAAUCUUCUAAACACCGUUAAACCCAAGAGAAAAAACAGAGCAAUUAUCACUUCAAGAACCACCAUAUUAAAAAAUACCGGGAAUUAAAACUGAGAAUUCAUUUAUUCUCGAAUACACUUCUGGUAAAUGACAGCCAAAAAAUCCCCUUUUUUCGGAAAAUAUUUUCUAGAAAACUCAAAAUACGCUAGAUAAGUCUCAACGAGCCAUCAUCUGAUUCGAAAUAUUCAUCAUCGAAACGGGCAGCACCUUGCUCUAAUAUAUAAUAUGAAGAGAGAAGAGAGCGAUUCAACUGGCUAAUUAUUAGAUAGCAAAAUUCCAUUGUUGGCUACCAAGUGUUUUUAGGCUUUUGGAUCAAACUCUUUUCAUUAUUUCUAACCAUUGAGAUUAAACUUAAACCCAGGUAACGGACGCACCGACAUCAACCUAGGGGACACUACUUAACUGACUAAUUAUCUCCUGAUCCUACCAAUUUUCACACAAAUGUUAAAAACUUGAUAGCAAAAAGAGCGUUUUACUAUAAUAUAAUCGCAGCCUAACUUUAUAUAUAUAGUAUAUAUAUAUAGUAUAUAAUAUCAUAUAUAUAGGGUUACAAUGAUAUCAGGUCCUUGGCAAACAUACCCAAAUUGGAUAUAAUCCCUGGCAAUGGAAACUCCAUAAGUGUGUCCCCUGCAAAAGUUCAACGUUAUGCAGAAUUGUCCCUACUGUUAGAGUCUGUUAGAGAAGUUUGUUAACCAGAGUUAAACUACUUAAAGCCAUGAUUAGUUAAUAAUGUGAAUUGACUAUUUGCCCCUCUUAUGUUAUUUAGUAAUUCUAUUUACUUUAAUAACCACCAAUAGUGGGGCCCUUAACACCUAGUUGAUUGGAACCUCGCCAGGUGAGAGCCGCUCAGGUGUUCCGCAUCCGGCUACGCGAUCGAGAGAUGCGACCAUGAUGCAAGGAUGGCUUGCGUCGAUCGGAGAAUUUAGUGCUCGUCUUCCUCGGGCAAACAACGGAGUUCAGAUACGAGGUUUAUUGCUCAACGCAUCUCUUUCCCCUCCUCUACUCUCCUGAUACUAGCUUCAGAUCUAGCAUUACUAGGUUUUAUCAUCAAUAUUCAUCGGCAACGUGUGUAAUGCUCUUCAUAUUUUUUCAUGAGAACAAGGUGAGUGCGAUUACAUAUAUACAUUCAACAACCUUGGUCUCAUACUUGAUGUUAGUUCUUUUGAAAACAUUUCUUGUAUUUUAGGUUAAUUUUGAAAUAAGUGAUCGUUCUUGGAGGUAACUGCAAGUUAUGAUUAUAUAGACAUAUUUUCAUAGAGCAAUUCGUAAUAUACGACAUAAUUGUUCAAUAGAGCAUGUCGAGGUAAUACCUUAGUCAUCUUUGAUUUUAUUUUGUUUCUAUAGUGAAAGUUUGAAUCCAGAUUAGGAGGAGAAAGGUUUUUUCAAGUGAAGUUCAAUAUACUGGUAUUUUAAAACAGUAAAAACUGCAUGUGGAUUAGAUAUUGUGAUGGUAAGAACAUUCGUUUGAUGAUAGAUCUUGAUGGUUUUAAUCUGUUGUAGAAUUUUGUCGGAGAUGUACCAUCCAGCUAUGGGAUUGGGGUGUUCGGAAAUAUUGUGUAUUGUAUAUAGGCAAGAAAUGUUAAGCCAAAGAAAUUUCAUUCAGUAAUCUCUGACAGCGAGUUGAUGGCUAUGUUUUCUAUAUACAAUGACAUGAAAGAAGUCAGAAAUUUUAUACCAUUCAUCGCGAGCAUUCACAUUAUAACUAUAAUUCGGUGAGAGAAUAACUCCGACACAUAAGGGUCAACAUUGAUUCUAUGAAUUGUUGAUAAUAUUGUGGGUAUUUGCGUAGUGAAAGGUGAUGAAGGUGAUGAUGAUGGUCAAUUGCCGAAGAAACAGUUGUGAACGGUGUGUAGUGAAGUGUUGGUAAAGGGUGAUGAAGGUAUUGUGAAGGUGUUGGUGAAGAUAUUGGGAGAGCAAGUGUGAAAAUUGGUCAAGUGUCGUCCUGAAGGAAGUGAUUGCGUGAAGAUAAUUUGUGAAAAUAUGGGUGAACAUUUUGGUGAAGAUGUGGUCAAGUUGCGAAGAACCAGCUGGUCAUAGUCAUAUGCAGUUUAAGUGAAGAUAGCUAUCGUGUCUUCUUAAUACUGAUGCCUUGAGUAGAGAGAUAUAUGGAUCCUGUUGAAAAUUUUCGAUAUGAUGAAUAACCUAUCUAUGGAAGUAGGAGCAAAAUAGUCCAAAGUAUUUCAUUUAGAGAUGCAUUCUUGACUCAUUUUGCCCUAACUAAAUGAGUUUGAGUAAUAACUUAAAAAAAAUGAUCUUUUGAGGGUAAACUGCAACGUGGCAAAAUUAAUUGCAGUGGCGAUAUUCAUGGCAUCUAGACUCAGAUUCCUUAGGACCUUCAGGUAAUUACCACAUUAUCUAUUUUUUACUUUUCAAUCUUUUGAGCACUUCAAGUAUCAUUCAUUUAUAGAAUGAUAAAGUUGCCGAAUAAAUCUAAAUUAACAUUUACGUGAUAUGUACAGACUUUAGCAGAAGGAGAGCACACAUGCACGUGGCGGCCAAUAGGUGUCGGAAUAAAGUGGAAAACAAUCGCUGGGUGUGCAAUAGGGUUAUUGGGGUGGGCUACGGUUGGACGCGCCAAUCAGUUUGAAGUGAGACUACAUUGAUAUCAGUGUAGCUGCAGGUUAUGCAAGUGAAAAGGUGUGCCACUGCAUUCAGUGCAGAUGUCAGUAAUUAGGUAAAUUAAACGAAUGAAAAGUGGGAAAGAUUAUGUGGCUACCCCAUAUUUUACAGUGGCCAAUAUAAGGAGGCCUAUACUAGUUGCAAUGUGCACCAUUACCGCAGUUGUGAUAGAAGGUAAAAAUUGAAUUAUCGGUUCUUCGUGAUUACCUCCUAUUUUAAAAAGCGAGCUUGGGAGAACCUCGAAACAGAGCGAAUUAGACAGUCGGAUGAGAUGGCUAAUCAGCAUAGACAUUGAAUGGCAAAAGAAUGCGAAGUAAGUUAGGGCCACCGUGCAAAACAUGAAGAACGGCUCGAUGUGAAAUACGACAUGCCUGCUCGAGCAGGACCAUCUGCAACAGCAAAUCAACAGCCUGCUGCAGGACGGACAUCUCAGAGCACGAAUCAACACCUGCUUGCAGGCAGGGAAUCAACAGCCUACAGACCACCACAAGUAGGUAAUCAGCACUCUAGAGCCAAUUCAAGCAGAGAAUCAGCAAGAGGGAUACCGCUACUCUGAACCAGCCAUCUCAAACAAGUAUUAGUAUGGCAAAAGUAAUAUUGCGAUAACAAUGUUCACUUCCUUCAAGUUUAAUUGUCUUACCUCCACAAUUAACUAUAUAAAAAUGGCAGGCGUAGAGGAAAGAGUAGCAAUCGAGAUCAAAUACUUACAGUCUCAAGAUGGAUAGUACUUAUUCUGAAAUUGAUGCACUUGGUAGUCUAGAAAAUUUAAGAUUUGGUUUAGACAAACAUCAAAUGGCACGGAAGCCUUAUUUGUGUAGUUUGAAUGGAUGUAUGACAGUCUUAUGUUGGUGAGAUUUGAAUUAUGUAGGAUAGCCUUAUUUUUGUAGUACUUGACAACUGGUGGGCUACUCUUGAUAGUGGCUAAUCAGCCUCUAAAUGGUUGUAUGCAAUAUUUUGAUUGAAUUUGCGUUCUACUUGAUGCUUGAGGAGGAGUGGGUGCUGAAUGGAACUUGAACAUAUAACAAUUUUGUACUGUGGUUGAAACUUGAAUAGCAUUGUUUGGUUUGAUAUAGAUAAUACUGAAAUGAAAUAUUGCGACCUGAUAGUUUUAUGCAAAUAAUUAUGUUUAGAAUGGAUAUAUACUUGAUGGCAAGAGCUGUGGAUACUAUUGUUUUAUGUGGAAUAACAUUGAAUGUGAUAUAUGUUUGUAUGUGAACAAUCAUUGCACUUGAUACUUUUAAACAGAUUUUUUCAAACUUUCAUUACUGCUACAAAAUCGUAAGUAAAAAUAAAACUGUUUGUACACGCCACUAUCUAAAUGCACUUACAGACAAGUGACAGAAUUACUAUUUAUCACCUCCACAUUUUUAUUAAUCAUUGCCAAGUUAAACAAGAUAUUAUACCAAUAACUAAUGUCUACAAGCAGCUUAAUAAGAAAUAUAACAGUUUUCACUUUUCUAACUUCUGAAUACAUCUUCCACUGCUCUGUUGAAAUGCUUGUAGACUUGGUAUUUCAAAUCAAUCAGUAUUGUGUGUAAAUCAUACGAUUCCAACAAAAUAUACAGUGCUCAUUACUCUGUAAAGUAUAAAACUGAAAAAUAGUAAAUGAGUAAAAGUUAUGGUAAGUACUGCAGAUAAUGCAAAAGAAAUUGUUUUACCGCCCCCAUUUGUGACAUCCAAGAACCGCACGACCUCUAGUGUGCUGUUGCUUUGAAACCCAUAUUCUACAAUUGUUUAAGCAAUCACACUUGGAUUGUUAGCUCGAAGAAGAUCCGCUGAUGCUUGUCACUCCAUCAUAAAAAUUUAGCAGGAGAAAAAAAGAUAAAAAAUAAAAAUUGCUUGAUCUAACUGAUCAAAUAAGAGAAGAAUAAAAAUAGUGUAGUGAAUAAAGGAGAAGCAAACAAAAAAAAUGAGAGUAAUAAAAGUUGCAAUGGAGUUGAUAAAUUAUAGAGAAGAAUAGUGACCGUCAGGGUCAUUUUGGGGUUUUGGGGUCCAUUUAUGUACCAGGCUGUUCCUUAUUAUUUUGGGUUUUGGAGAGAUAUAUUUCGAUGAGGGCAAAAUGGACAUUCAUUACUAAGAACAAAUAGACCGUUUGUAUUUUGCAGGACUAUUUUUGCAAAUAUUUAUCAGUUAUGACUUUGGAGGGAUAUAUUUGGUGGGCGGCAAAAUUGUCAUCUCACGGUUGUAUUUUGCGAGGAUAUUUUUGCAAAUAUUUAUCAGUUAGGACUUUUGGAGGAUAAGUUUGUGGGGGAAAAUUGUCAUUUCAUCGAAUCCAUCUGUUAGAAAAUUACAUCAGCCUCACAACGAUGUAAUGUAGGAGACAAUUGCGGCAUAACUUUUGAACUUUUGCAGGACACACUUUAUGGAGUUUCCAUUUGCAGGAUAUAUCCGCAAUUGGUAUGUUUGCAAGGACCUGUAUCAUUUAUACACCAUAUUAUAAUAUAUAUAAUUAGAUGUUAGAAACUUACAAAGCACAACAGUCCAUUUUUGUGCUUCUAGUUCAUAGCCCUUGGAUCUACUCUUGAAUUAUAAAGCCUUUUGGAUCAAACCAUACAUUUGCACCUACCACCACCUAUCACACCUUACUACCUAAUCAUCUCAACCUCACAUCUCUCUAUUCUAAUGGCUAAAAACGUCAAAGCACUCACCUCAUGGUGCUUUUAGGGGCAUUCUAGCCUCAACUAUAUAUAUAUAUAUAUAUAUAUACAUAUAUAACAUAUAUAGUUUGAGUUGGAAUGCUGAUGAGGUAGGCAAUUGAGCUCCGUUGCAUCUAUUUGUUUCGACGAAAGCAUCUAAAUCGAAGGAUCGGCCACAAUGUAGAUGAUCUAUAGCUAUCUAGAAGUUAUUUAAAAUCAAAUUUCAAAUUUUUUUGAUUACAUUGACUAAAUGAUCAAGAGUUCCAAAAUUUGUAAUUUUAAAUUUGUUGUAUAUUAAGAUAGAGUCCGGCUGUGUACUAUCGAUAGACAACUAUUUGUGUGCUAUCGAAGUUUUUCCACUGUUUAGAUUAACCUCUUUGAUUAUUUUUACACCGUUAGAUUAUACUAUUUAGACCACCAUCCACGUCAAGCCUACGGGUCCACAUCACUGCUAAUCGUACUUUAAUUUUCAUAGCCAAAAACCGAAACACCCGAAAAGCACCAAUGUUUGUUGCUAUUCGAUAGUAUUCCACUCUAGUUAUAUUAUAUAUAUAUAGUAUAUGAUAUAUAGAGAGAGAGAGAGAGAGAGAGAGAGAGAAAGAGAGAGAGAAAUUAGGCUGGAAUGACUAUUGAUAGUAAAAAGACCAUUUGUUGUGCUAUCGAAGUUUUAACGCCUUGAUAAUAAAUUAUAAGUUACGGAUAUAUUAGUCCUUAAGUUGAAUGGUCCCCUAGGUGGAGUGGUCCGUACUGGUUUAAUAUUUUAAUCUAAGCUGUUAGAAUGAUGAAACAAAUUGAAUUCAAAGCGUUAAAACUUGAUAGCAAAAAGGAUCUUUUUGUCUAUCAUAGUAUUUUACCCAACCUAUUAAUAUAUUAUAUAGAGAGAGAGACGAGUAAGAGAGAGAGCUAGGAUGGUAUAACAUCGGUAGCACGGAGCUACGUGCUAUCCAGGUCGUUUUCAUGAUGUGCUCCUAAAGACGAUCGGCUCUGUUCUAGACCUUGAAUACUAAUCUAUGAAAGUAUUGAAAUUAAAUUCAUAAAAUUUUCGGCAUCAUUACGCUAUCAAACGAUAGUCAAAAUGAAUACUAAAUAAAAAUUUCUAAAAUGAUGAUAAAGACUUGGAAUUAAGAUCAACGAGAGGUACCCGAUCUUACUCUAAUAGUGAAAAGAAUUUCUAUAAAAUUUCAACAUAUUUGGUAUUGUUACACCCAGUUAAAUUCCAUAACAUCCAAUCUACCAUUAAAUUCAAUUUUGAACUUUGAUCUACUAAGCGCAAAAUAAUGUCGAAAAAUUAUAAUUUAGUUUGCCAAAAUUUUAAUCGUAUCAGAUCAGUCUAUACGUGAGCUGAUCUUCACUUUGAAGCUCGCAUCAUUGAAUAACAAACUUGGUCCAGCCGGAGGCUUCCGUGGCUACCGAUAGUAUAACAGCCUAACUGCUCUCUAAUAUAUAUAUAUAUAUAUAUAUAUUAUAUAUAUAUAUAUAUAUAUAUAGAAGAGAGAGAGAGAGAGAGAGAGAAGANNNNNNNNNNNNNNNNNNNNNNNNNGAGAAAAUGCCUCAUAUCGAUCUAUUAAAUAUCAAAUUUUAAAAUCUUGAUCAUUCGUAAUAAUGUUGAAGAAAUUUGAAAUUUGAUUCUAAAUAUUUCAAGUGUAUAGAUCAGAUUAAAACAGUGCCGAUCGUCGAUUUGGAGGCUCAAUCAUCGAAAAGCAAAUGAGUUUGCAAUGGAGCCCCGUUUGCUAUCGAUAGAUUCAUACGCUCAACUCUCUCUCUAAUAAUAUUAGCUAGGAGUUGGCUGGAAUUACUGAUGAAUAGCAAACAGGCCUCUGUUGACCACAGUAUUUGUUUCGAUGAUGGGAGCGCUCCAAAUCGACGAAUCCGUUAUCGUUAAAUGACAUAUACUCAUUUUGACAAUGAUCUAUACGUUGAAAACUCUCUCUCUCUCUCUCUCUCCUCUCUCUUCUUUAUAUAUAUAUAUAUAUAUAUAUAAUAUAUAUAGUACAGCCUCUAAUAUAUAUAUAUAUAUAUAUAUAUAUAUAUAGAGAGAGAGAGAGAGAGAGAGAGAGAGAGAGUUGAGCUAGAAUACUAUCGAUAGCAAACAGACUUCGUUACCAUCUAUUUGUUUUCGAUGGUAAAGCCUCCAAAUCGACAAUCGGCACCGUUGAACAUGAUCUAUAUUACUUGAAGUGUUUAGAAAUCAAAUUUUAUACAUUUUUUAUAUUGUUCUCUUAUCCAUCGAGUGGACACAAAAAUAAAUUGAUGAAAAGUAAUAUUUUUUAAAAAAUGAUACUAGAAGUUUUGUUGGAAUACUAUCGAUAGUACCAAGCGUUUGGUGCUAUCAAGUUUUUCGCCAUUAGAUUUAACCCUUUAACUAUUUUCACCCGUUAGAUUAUACUAUUAAACCAACAACUCACUUAACCCUAUAGGGCCCACAUCAUCCUAACGGUAUAUUUUUUCAUCCAACGGUAUGUUUUUUUAUCCAAGAGCCGAAAAUCUAAUAGCACCAAUAGGUUGGUGCUAUUGAUAGUAUUCCAGCCGAGAUCUAUAUAUGGCUGAGGUGCUUCUAAUAGCACCAAUGGCUGGGGUGCUUCUAAUAGCACCAAGCAUUUGGUGCUACCAAUUUUCCACCGUUAAAUUUAUCUUUAUGACCAUUUAUCUCUGUUAUAUCAUACUAUUCAACCAACCAAUUAUUCAACCCUCUUAAUCUCUUAUGUCUCAUCUCUUUUUUUUUUUAGAGAGAUAGAUAGCAUGUUACCCGCUUCGUUUAUUUCACUUAGAAAUAAACUUAGUUAGAAAUGUGAAUCAACUAGGAUUUAAAUUUGAGAUCUCUAAUACCAACCAUCAAACCCUUUGCCAUCAAGUUCUUUGUCUCAUCCUUUUAAGUAGCAUCAAGAAGCAUAGUUUAAAGCUAGCCUACAAAACUUUACCCUUGGAAAUGAUCUUUAAGCCAUCUUCUUGAUUUUUAUCCUUUCCUUGAUAGUUCCUUUAAGCGCAACAACUAUUUUGGCAACAUUUCUUGGUCAAUACUUAUUAUUAAAAUUAAAAGUAAAAAGACAUAUUGCAUAAGACUCACAAAAAUGCGGAAAUUGUCCGAUUAAAAUUUGCUAUUAAUGAGGAAGGUCUCUACAUUUUGAGAGACCUUUCUCUCAUACCUGCGUACAAUAUAUGCCAACUAAGUGUGACAAUAAUAUAUCAUUUUUUUCAGGGGAAAAAAGAAAGUGUGACAAUAAUAUUCCAUCGUACGUACACUAACAAGCCAACCAAUUUCUCCUGAGCUUCCUGAUCAUUGUGGUAACCUUUGUCUAUCACAUUUUGCUUAAAAAACCACGUCUCUUGCAAAAUUGAUGGCUUACCCGCUAUUUUACUUUUGAUUUUUUAUUUCUUUUAUUACAAUUCAAUACUUAACUUUUUCAAUUAAUUGCACUAUUAGUUCCUAAAAAAAAAAAAGAAUUACCUAUGUUUAAAUCACCUACACCGUCGCUUACACGUUUUCGUCUCUUUUGAAACAUAAUGCAUGUAUGCAGUUAUAUUUUUUGAAAUAUUCAUUAUUCUUGACGUUGAACCAAACGUACCAUCAGCUUUUUAUUUGAAGUUCAAAUAAAUAAAUAUCAAAUUGAUAGAAAACCAUCAAAUCAUGAUCGUACUUUUAUAUAAGUAGCCGGAAUUUUAUUAAAAUUAACAUAGUGUAUUCCGCCAAAAUUAAGGAGAAUUUGACUGGUUGAACCUAAUGAAACAAAGUAUAAAAGUUAGAGAUGUAAUAGUGAAAAGAAUAUGGUUGAAAAUUACAGUGAAAAAAUUGGAUAAAUGUUAGGAAUCAACAGUGCAAUGAACCGUCACCACCAUUGGAAUUGUACAGUACACUUGCUUCCUUAAUUUCUCUGUAGUUGUAUUUUGACCACUAUUAUUAUUUUCCGGUAGAAAAGACCCACUUUUUUCGUCGCAAUCUCCCGUAGAAAUCUUCUUUUGGGUAAAAAAUAAAAAUAAAAAAAGAACGCCCUCACUUGCUAUCUAAAUUUCUUUAUUUUUCCUUUUAUAAAUUAACAACAAAAAAAACUUUGAUUUGGUGCCAAAAGGAAAGAAAAAAAACACAAUAUUAUUGCAUAGCUAAUGGUUUUUAACGAAUUAACACAAAAUCUAACAUGGCCAUAUGGACCAAAUAGCAACCGAGAAUAAGUUAACUUGUGUAUUUUUUAUUCUUCAUUUUUUUUUUUCCCCUAGAAAAGGAUACUAUGCUGUGUGUUUCGUUCAUUUUUUAGAAAAAUGAAAUUAGAUAGAAAUGUAAAGUAACUAGGUUUCGAAUUUAGGAUCUCGAAUGCCAAUUAUUUAGUACUUUACCGGUUGUGCCAGGAGACGGUCGGUGUGAUGUAUUUUACUUAAUUACCAUAUUAGAGUUUGUUGAUCAAUUUACUGUUUAGAAAACUAGUUCUAUAAUUUUCUUUCAUGGUUUUUUCCUAAUUAAUUUUGAUGUGCUCGUUCUAGACUCGGAGAUGUAAGAAGCAAAAUUAAAAUAAACAAAAUGAAAAAGAAAAAGAAAAAAAAAAAGGGAGGGAGGGGUGGGGGGGGAGGGAACAGGAACCUCAAUACUUCCUAGUAAAUAUUCAUUUUUUUAGUUUUUCUUCCUAACUUUUAAAAAUUUAUAUUUUGCUCUCUUAAAAUUUCAAAAAUAUUUUUUGGAGGGUACUGUGUUUAUGGAGAAAGUAAAAUGAUUAGAUUAUUCUUCCUUCUUCUAUAAGAAAAAAAUAAUUUUUUAAUAUAUUUUUAUUAUUUUGAAAGGUAAUUUUGAUAUAAAAGCAUGUUUAUGGUUAUGAAAGGUAAUUUUAAUAAAUUAUAUAUUUCUUAACUGAUAAGAAACAUAUAAUUUAUUUAUACUUAUCCUAAACUUAUUAGGAUAAAUCAUGAUCCACAUCUUAUGUGGAUCGGGUUUAAUCAUAACCCGCCAAUGUGGACAAACCAUAUGGCAACAUAAUUAAAUUAUAAAAAAUGGACGGAAUAGUGAUGAACUCUGACGGAGGAGGGUUAAAUAUAAAAACUUGAAAUAUUAAGGGGAUAAAAUAUAGAUUUUGAAAGGUACGGAGGAGAAAUAAAGUGGGUAUUUAGCCAAAAUAAAAUUUUGAUAUGGCUUAAUUACAUUAUUUACUACAAUACCAUACUUUAGUAUUACUUUUAUUUGCCAUUUUCAUUACUAUUAACAGAUCUAUUGUUUAAACAAAAUCUAACAAUUUUAUUGUCACGACCUGCUUUUCAAGAGGUUGUUUAUUUAAAACUAUUCUAAUUUUAACACAGUUAACUCUUUAAUCUCUUGGAUCUUUAACUGCCGCACAACAUGCUAUAUUCGGGUUAAUGCAUUUAGUCCUACUAUACUUUAUAUAUAAAAUUAUUCUAAAUACUAGGGGUGUUAUAUUUAUUAAGAGAUACUGAUUAAAUAGUAAAACAAAAUUAAAAUGAAUAUCCAUUAUAGACUCUUUGAAAGUUUUAUCAAAGUAAUUUAAAUUACUUUUUAUCAUUUUUAUAUUUUUUUAUUAUUUUUCAUGUCAAAAUGAGUUAAAUACAUAUUUUAUCACAAUUAACUAGUAUUUUUUAACUGUUUUAAAUAAUAUUAUAAAUUUAUUAUUUAUAGUGCAGGGGUAACAAAAAAAAUAGAAUAGUCGGGUGAUUGCCUGUAAAAAAAUAGCACGAUUAAAAAGUGAAAAUUUUGUAAAAUACAAUAUCGUAAAUGUAAUUUGAUCAUUUUGAUAUUUUGCAUUCUUCUACAAGAAAAAAAAAAUGUAUUGCAUGAAAAUUAUUUUCAUAUACUGUUUUUCUCAUAAUUAUAUUUAGAAAGUAUUUUAUCAAAUAAUGUUACACUCGAGGACAAAAUUUUCUAUAAUUUUUAAUAAUAGUAAGCGCACUAUAUAUCAUGAUGACGAUGAUAUUCGUGUAAGCUAGCUACUUCGACAUGCGUACUCAGACCUGAACACAACCAAUUCCACCCAUUAAUUGCACACACAAUGCGACACGUUUCGACCUACGAACCCAAUUGCAAGAUCGAAACCAUAAAACGAAACGCCAUUGUAGCAAAUCCCAUUUACAUUAAAAAAAAAAAAGAAGGGAAAAGUAUAUAAACACCCUCACUUUAAUUAGCUCUUUUAUAAAUAAAUAUCUAAAUUUUUAAUUUUGAAAAUUAGUUAGAUCCGCAAAAUUUUAUCAAUUAAUCCUGCAGAUUCUUCUUUUGAAACAAAGUUAUUAAUUAUGCCGUCAUUUGGGUAGUAGUAUGUCUAGUGCAUAAUUUUAUAAAGAUUUAAAAUA